UCUGGGCCUGGGUUUCCUCAUCCGUCAAACCACAAGGUUGACCCGGAGGCUCUCUCCACCCUCCUCCGCCUAGGAGGUCGUCCUACAGUUCAAGGGCGAGUUCUGGCUCGUUCGGGGGCAGGGGCGGCGGUACCGAGCAGGAAACGCUCGCCAGCCGCCCCGGCAGCGGAGGAGGGGACCCCAGCUCCGGUCGUUGGCGCCCCUUCCUCCCGGUGGCAAGACUGAGGGGCGAAGGCACUUGGCCAGAAGCACAUCACGAGAACUUAACAGAACUAGCAGAAAUGGGAGAACGCCUAUCCGCCCCUGUCGUUCCUCGGCGUGAGGCUCUGGGCUCAGGAGUGGACAAUCUCCCUCUUUGGCCGCCUGCGUCCUCCGGCUCGACCUUUCCCUGCUUCACCCCGUUAGGAUUGGGCUAAGAACCAACACUCCUAUUUUCUCCUUAAUAAAUCCCAUUAAAGAUCGCUGGAGCCUUCCGACUGGUGGAACCUGGGCAAGCCCCUUCCGAAUCCUGGCCUUAGUUUUGCCAUCUGUAUGAGAGAAGCCUUCCCGCCCUCAUAUCCCUGGAUACUUUCUCUGCAGGCAACGGCCUGCCAUAAGGAGUUAAAUGUUCUUCCUUUUCUCUGUAUCGUCAUUAUACUUGCCUGCCCAGCACCUGUGGCCACAGGAAUAUGCUUAAAAAAAAAAGGUUAUUAAAUAAGCAUGAAGGUA